rnacentral:lncRNA from 1 species
CUAAGAUAUCUGAUUUCAAUGUUUUACUGAAUUACAAGUGUUUUCACAGUGAAAUUUGCUUGGAUUAUUUCAGCACAUCAAGGGGAAAGACCUACAGGAACAGAAAGUGAAUGAAGGCCCUAAUCUUGGAAGCCCACCUAAUUUUUCUACUUCCUCCAAUGAAGUAAAAAGUACACAUACUCAAAAGAACA